UACAGAGGGUGCAAGCGUUGUUCGGAAUUAUUGGGCGUAAAGCGCGUGUAGGCGGCUUUGCAAGUCGGGUGUGAAAGCCCUCAGCUCAACUGAGGAAGUGCGCCCGAAACUGCAGAGCUUGAGUGCCGGAGAGGGUGGCGGAAUUCCCCAAGUAGAGGUGAAAUUCGUAGAUAUGGGGAGGAACACCGGUGGCGAAGGCGGCCACCUGGACGGUAACUGACGCUGAGACGCGAAAGCAUGGGGAGCAAACAGG
rnacentral:rRNA from 1 species